GCCCUUGUAGUGUAGUGCUAGCACGCGUCUCCGGUGAGGACAAGACGCGGGUUCAAUUCCCUCUUGAGGUCG